rnacentral:rRNA from 1 species
GACGAACGCUGGCGGCGUGCUUAACACAUGCAAGUCGAGCGGUAAGGCCCUUUCGGGGGUACACGAGCGGCGAACGGGUGAGUAAAACGUGGGUGACCUGCCCUCAGCUCUGGGAUAAGCCUGGGAAACCGGGUCUAAUACCGGAUAUGACUCCAUGACGCAUGUUGUGGGGUGGAAAGCCUUGUGCGGCUGAGGAUGGGCCCGCGGCCUAUCAGCUUGUUGGUGGGGUGAUGGCCACCAAGGCGACGACGGGUAGCCGGCCUGAGAGGGCGACCGGCCACACUGGGACUGAGACACGGCCCAGACUCCUACGGGAGGCAGCAGUGGGGAAUCUUGCGCAAUGGGCGAAAGCCUGACGCAGCGACGCCGCGUGAGGGAUGACGGCCUCGG